rnacentral:rRNA from 1 species
GACGAACGCUGGCGGCGUGCUUAACACACGCAAGUCGAACGGAAAGACCCUGCUUUUGUGGGGUGCUCGAGUGGCGAACGGGUGAGUAACACGUGAGUAACCUGCCCUUGACUUUGGGAUAACUUCAGGAAACUGGGGCUAAUACCGGAUAGGAGCUCCUGCUGCAUGGUGGGGGUUGGAAAGUUUCGGCGGUUGGGGAUGGACUCGCGGCUUAUCAGCUUGUUGGUGGGGUAGUGGCUUACCAAGGCUUUGACGGGUAGCCGGCCUGAGAGGGUGACCGGCCACAUUGGGACUGAGAUACGGCCCAGACUCCUACGGGAGGCAGCAGUGGGGAAUAUUGCACAAUGGGCGGAAGCCUGAUGCAGCAACGCCGCGUGCGGGAUGACGGCCUUCGGGUUGUAAACCGCUUUCGCCUGUGACGAAGCGUGAGUGACGGUAAUGGGUAAAGAAGCACCGGCUAACUACGUG